rnacentral:rRNA from 1 species
UACGAAGGGGGCUAGCGUUGCUCGGAAUCACUGGGCGUAAAGGGUGCGUAGGCGGGUCUUUAAGUCAGGGGUGAAAUCCUGGAGCUCAACUCCAGAACUGCCUUUGAUACUGAGGAUCUUGAGUUCGGGAGAGGUGAGUGGAACUGCGAGUGUAGAGGUGAAAUUCGUAGAUAUUCGCAAGAACACCCGUGGCGAAGGCGGUUCUCUGGGACGGUACUGACGCUGAGACGCGAAAGCGUGGGGAGCGAACAGG